rnacentral:rRNA from 1 species
UACGUAGGGACCAAGCGUUGUUCGGAAUUACUGGGCGUAAAGGGUGCGCAGGCCGCGCGGGCAGUCAAAUGUGUAAUUCAGGGGCUCAACCCCUGGACUGCGCUUGAUACUUCCGCGCUUGAACCUUGGAGAGGAGUCUGGAAUUCUCGGUGUAGCAGUGAAAUGCGUGGAUAUCGAGAAGAACACUAAGGGCGAAGGCAAGACUCUAGACAAGUGUUGACGCUCAUGCACGAAGGCUAGGGUAGCGAACGGG